UGUUCUGUGGCUUAGUUGGUUAAAGCGCCGGUCUAGCGAAUACGGAGUCGUGGGAUGGAAUCCCACCAGAACGC
rnacentral:tRNA from 1 species